rnacentral:misc_RNA from 1 species
AACGCAUCUUGCGCUCCAUGGUAUUCCGUGGAGCAUGCCUGUUCGAGUGUCACGUCAACCCUCGCCCUUGCGAUGUCAAAGUCGCAUGUGGUGGAUUUGGACCGUGCCGUAGUUGGCUCGUCCUGAAAUGCAUUAGCUUGCGCUUUUAGAGUGCUGGGCACCGGUGUGAUAAUUAUCUGCGCCAACGCCAUUAGCCUCUUCAGCGGCGCUGCUUACAGCCGUCCUGACGGACAACUUAUCAAAGCUUUGGCCUCGAAUCAGGUAGGACUACCCGCUGAACUUAA